UACAGAGGUCCCAAGCGUUGUUCGGAUUUAUUGGGCGUAAAGGGUGCGUAGGCGGCGGAGUAAGUUGGGUGUGAAAUCCCGGGGCUCAACCUCGGAAUGGCAUUCAAUACUGCUUCGCUUGAGUACUGGAGAGGAGGCUGGAAUUUACGGUGUAGCAGUGAAAUGCGUAGAUAUCGUAAGAAAGGCCGGUGGCGAAAGCGAGCCUCUGGACAGUUACUGACGCUGAUGCACGAAGGCCAGGGGAGCAAACGGG
rnacentral:rRNA from 1 species